GCAAGUCGAACGCAGCGGCCUUGUGCCGGCUGCGUGGCGAACGGCUGAGGAACACGUGGGUCACCACCCCCGGAGUGGGGGAUACCCCGUCGAAAGACGGGACAAUCCCGCAUACGCUCUACGGAGGAAAGCCGCAAGGCGCUCCGGGACGGGCCUGCGGCCCAUCAGGUAGUUGGUGUGGUAACGGCGCACCAAGCCAAUGACGGGUUCCCGGUCUGAGAGGACGACCGGGCAGACUGGGACUGCGACACGGCCCAGACUCCUACGGGAGGCAGCAGCAAGGAAUUUUCCCCAAUGGGCGCAAGCCUGAGGGAGCAACGCCGCGUGGAGGACGACGGCCUUCGGGUUGUAAACUCCUUUCGGGCGGGACGAUGAUGACGGUACCGCCAGAAGCAGCCCCGGCUAACUCUGUGCCAGCAGCCGCGGUAAGACAGAGGGGGCAAGCGUUGUCCGGAGUUACUGGGCGUAAAGGGCGCGGAGGCGGUCUGCUGCGUCGGCGCUGAAAGCGCCCCGCUUAACGGGGCGAGGCGCGCCGAUACGAGCAGGCUGGAGGCGAGCAGAGGGCGGCGGAAUUCCGGGUGGAGCGGUGAAAUGCGUAGAGAUCCGGAGGAACGCCAGUGGAGAAGUCGGCCGCCUGGGCUCGACCUGACGCUGCGGCGCGACAGCGUGGGGAGCAAACCGGAU
rnacentral:rRNA from 1 species